rnacentral:rRNA from 1 species
UGAUGGCGACCGGCGCACGGGUGCGUAACGCGUAUGCAACCUACCUUUUACAGGGGCAUAACACUGAGAAAUUGGUACUAAUUCCCCAUAAUAUCUGAGACGGCAUCGUUUUGGGUUGAAAACUCCGGUGGUAAAAGAUGGGCAUGCGUUGUAUUAGCUAGUUGGUGAGGUAACGGCUCACCAAGGCGACGAUACAUAGGGGGACUGAGAGGUUAACCCCCCCACAUUGGUACUGAGACACGGACCAAACUCCUACGGAAGGCAGCAG